GUGCUCCCCCGCUAAUUCCUUCCGGUAGGAUCCAUGCGAGAAGGGUCAAUUCGGCGGAUAUUCAUCAGAUUGGCUGCCGCUCUAAGAUGCAUCUAAAGGGACUCAUUCCCCAUAUAGCGAGUCUUAUUACUGGUCACUAGGCCGUCAUUUUAUCACGUUUGGUCUGGCAAAUUUCUGGCCUUACCCAACAUAAUCUUCUUGCAAGACAUCCUCCUUUCUGCAGGUGGUGUAUGAAUCAACAGAUUUUACCCCAUCGCCUUUAGUAACAGUUGCCUCUCCUGACUGGUAAAUGUAUACGAUCUGCAGCAGCCCAUUUGUUACGGAGGUGGAGUUGAUUAAACACUUGGAGAACCCUAUACUUGUGAUUUACGUACAAUCCACUCCUUUACCUUUCUUCGCUGUCUGUUUAUUACCGCGUUCGCUGACUUUCCACUUGAAGAUCUCUUACUCUGGCUCCCUUUUAGGGUGCCAUAAGAUGCUUUUAGUGCCACCACUCCAAGAAACUUUAGUAGGGUGAUGGCUAUUGUAGAGGGUUCUCGCCUGGAUAGACCCGUUAUCGCCCGUUGACUUGUCACACGACCAUCUUUAGGAUCGCACUCUUGUACCCCACUGCAACAACACGCAAGCCUAUCUCAUUACUAUUCUUACGAUUUGAUCGGCACUUUGCCGAUCUCGGCCUCUUGUAUAUUUGAUGAACUGAUCUUUCCAAAAUUAGAGACUUAUUUUGACUUAUCCUCAGUUUCACGAGGUGAUCCACGUAGCCUGAACAUGUUGACUACAUGUUACUGAGACGGAUGCCACAUCUGACUAUUUGACUCUCAUGGCUAUCUCCACUCUGAUAACACUCGCGUCCAGAAAGAUCAAGUAGAUUGCGGUGAACUCACCUGAUAUUCAUUAGACUGGGCGGCUUUAUAGAAUGCAUGCAAAGCGGACUUGUCAGCUUAGACGGCUUCUGAUAAA
rnacentral:rRNA from 1 species